ACAUCUCUUCGGAGCAUUUUACGAGGUGCUGCAUGGUUGUCGUCAGCUCGUGCCGUGAGGUGUUGGGUUAAGUCCCGUAACGAGCGCAACCCUUGUCCUUAGUUACCAGCACGUUAUGGUGGGCACUCUAAGGAGACUGCCGGUGACAAACCGGAGGAAGGUGGGGAUGACGUCAAGUCAUCAUGGCCCUUACGGCCUGGGCUACACACGUGCUACAAUGGUCGGUACAAAGGGUUGCCAAGCCGCGAGGUGGAGCUAAUCCCAUAAAACCGAUCGUAGUCCGGAUCGCAGUCUGCAACUCGACUGCGUGAAGUCGGAAUCGCUAGUAAUCGUGAAUCAGAAUGUCACGGUGAAUACGUUCCCGGGCCUU
rnacentral:rRNA from 1 species